UAGGUGAGAAAAGAAUGUAAUUUCUAGAACCAAUCCCUUAGGGGCUUGUUUUAGGCUUAGAGUGAUUUGUUAACUUGCAAACAAGAUGAACCACCUUCGACAAAACUAGAGGGGGUUGCCAUAUAAAUAGUUUUAGAGAUGUCUCUAUUUAAGAAAGUAGUGUUAAUGUCUAUUUGUUGUAUAUAACUCGAAUGGUGGUAGGCUUGAUUAUAAGGAUGAAAGUCUUUGAAAACUCCAAACCUUCUUGUUGUUGAUAUACUCUUUAUCCAACUCGAGAUUUAUGUUUAGAGAUAAUUCCAUCGGGAUUAUAUUAGACACAAAAAUCCCAUUUGCAUCUUAUGACAUUAACAUGAGGAUGAAGUUUGACAAAAGCCCAUUUCUUGGUAUGUUGAAUAACAUUGAAUUCUUGUUCUAUGGCUGACUUCCAAUGAGAACAUUUCAAAGCUAUUUUGAUUAAUCUCAGUUCAAUGUGCAAAGGUGCUUCCUAAUUGGACUUUGAAGUUGUUGGCAUGUAUGUUUUAGGCUUGAAAAUACCACAUUUGCCUAUUGUUAACAUGUUAUGUUGAUUGGUGGCAGCUCUAGGAAUAGGACCGGUGGAGGAGUUAGGUGUGAGAUCAUAAUGUGUUGGAUCAAGUGAAGAAGAUUGGGAUUGAGAGCUUGUCCAAUAUGGUUCAAGGUGAGACAAAGUUGAUAAAUAAAGUUAUUUGAGGGUUUUAGGUAUGUGUAGCACCAUAUUGUUGAUUAAUUGAGGAUGUUUGAAGAAGAACAAAAUGAGUGGUCUCAAUAAUAACAUUCAACAGAGCCGUGCAAAAGGAAUCAACAUCAUUAGUAGUGAGUGGUUGAAAUCUAUUAUGACAAUGAAUAACAUGAAUGGAAGUAGUAUGCUCAAUAUGCAUUGGAAAAACUACACCAUUUGUACUAGAAUGGAAGUAAGAGUUAACAUGAAAAGGAAAUACGUUUUCAUCAAAUUUGACAUGUCUAGAAAUGUAUACUUUACCACAAGGUGCAAGGCAAACAUAACCUUUAUGACUAGAACUAUAGCCUAGAAAAACGCAUUAUUCAGACUUAAACUGAAGUUUAUGCUUCUUGUAUGACCUCAAGUAAGGAUAACAACCACAUCCAGAGAUUUUUAAACUAUUUUAUUUAGGAAUUUGAUUGAAAAGCAUUUGUAAAGGAGUUGAGUAAUUGAGGAGAGGAGUAGGUAGUUCGUUUAUGAUGUAAACAACUAUUCUAAAUGCCUCCUCCUUCCCUAUACUUCAAAGGCAUAUAAACAUUAGCUAAGAUAGUGAUUCCUAUCUCAGUAAUAUGACGAUGUUUGUGUCCAUCUUAUCCAUUUUGUUUUGUGUGUAAGGACAAUUGACACGAUGAGUAAUACCAUGAGUAGUGAGGAAAAAUUCAAAGGCAACAUACUCAUUUCCUCCAUUUGUUUAGAUUGAUUUGAUUUUGAAUCCCAACUGAUUCUCAACCAUAGUCUUAAAAUGAAUGAAGCAUGAAAGUUCUUCAUACUUGGCUUGCAAAAGAUAGAUCCAUGUGAACUUGGAAAAAAAAAUCAAUAAAAUGUAAAUAUUAUUUGCUUCUGUUAGUAGACAUAAUGGGCGCAAGACUCCAAAUAUUGGAGUAUAUAAGUUGUAAAUGUGUAUCAUAAACAAGAGUAGAAUUAACAAAAGGAAGUUUAUAAGAUUUUCCUAAACAACAUGCUUUGCAAACAAUAGAAAUUUUAUCAUAGUCAUGAAAAAAGUUACAAUUGAGCAGAACAUUAGGAACAAUUUUAUGAGAUUAGUGAUAUUAGAGUUUAGGGUUUUGGAUUAGUGAAAUUAGAGUUUAGGGAUUAUGGUUUAGGAUUAGUGAAAUUAGGGUUAGUGAAAUAUGAAGUAUGGAAUACCAACAAUACCCCUCAAAAUCAAACCUUUCUUACAAACCUUGACCAACUUGCUCGCCAUUCUCCUCACAAAUCAAACCUUUCUUACAAGAACCCUGCAUUGCCAAAAAUGUCUUUCUCAAGCUUAAUAUCUAUGCUUUAUAAAAACAAAGGCUACAAGUACGGUUGUUGCGGCGGCAUCGGUAUGCUCAUUUGCGGUGCUGUGGCAUAUGCUCUGACAGAUUUCAACACCCUACAGGAACGUGCUAGAAUCUGCGAUCAAAGCGGUGCACGUUUUGUUCAAAAGACGUUUCUGACCUUCCCUCCCAAGUUGAUUGGAAGAGGGAAGGUGUCGUGUCCCCGAUUCGUAACCAACUAAACUGUGGUAAUUUUUAUUCUUUAAAAUAUAUGAACAUUAAGAUAUUUUGGUAGAUUAAGAUAUGAAUAUAGUUUUGAAUGUAUGAGAAUGGAUACAGUUUGAACAAUUCCUUCCAAAAUGAACUCACAAAAAUUAGGUUUCAGUCACUGAGAAUGGAAGCUGGAAUGCCAUACAAACGUACCACCUCCCUUGUGAAAAUAUCAUCCAACAACCCUAAUUUAGCAUGGCAGGUGUUGUAAACAAUCAUAUAAUUGUACGGGGAACAAUGAUUGUUAUGAACAUCAUAACAAGAAACAUAAUUAGUAUGUGCACAAUUACAAGUAGCAGUAUUACAACUAGGAGCACAAUUGAAA